GCAGUUGGCCGGUCUGCCGCUUGCGCCUUUCGUGCGUAUGAGGAAAGUCCGGGCAACAGAGAGCAUCCCACUUCCUAACAGAAAGCCGUCCGCGAGGGUGGAGUAACGUAGAAGAAAAGAACCGCCGCAGCUUCCGGGCUGCGGUAAGGGUGAGAAGGUGAGGUAAGAGCUCACCGGUCUUGUGGCGACACAAGAGCCGUGCGUCUUGGGAGUUGUAAGGUCAUGUAAACCGGCGCUACGAGAGCUGCUCGCUCCAUGUCGGAGGGUGGACCGCUAAAGCCUGUAUGGUGACAUGCGGCUCAGAUAAAUGGCAGACACUUCUGAUUGAAGAAUGAAGAAUGGAAAAUGAAAAUUUUCCGUCCGGAUUUGUUCAAUACAAUGAGGUACAGAACCCGGCUUAUAGGCCGACUGUUUUA
rnacentral:RNase_P_RNA from 1 species